rnacentral:tRNA from 2 species
GUUAAUGUAGCUUAAUCCAAAGCAUGGCACUGAAGAUGCCAAGAUGAACCCUAGCAAGUUCCAAUAACA